CAGGGAGACAACAAAAUGUUAAAUAUUAAUUUUGUCACCUUAGGUCGAUCGGUAUCUCACAUUUUUAAUUUAUUAAGAAUUUUAUUUCCUAAGUUUUUUCUAGGUCACACCCAUUACUUUCCCUGGGCCAUUAGCUCAGGUGGUUAGAGCGCACCCCUGAUAAGGGUGAGGUCCCUGGUUCAAGUCCAGGAUGGCCCAUAUCUCUAUGUUGGGGGUAUAGCUCAGUUGGUAGAGCGCCUGCUUUGCAAGCAGGAUGUCAGCGGUUCGAGUCCGCUUACCUCCACUGAUUACCACCUCUUCCAUAUUUCAAAGAAGGGAAAUGUUUUGAGUUUUGAUCAAAUUCUGAACGAAUCUAGCUUCCUAAUAAAUAAUUAUUAAGAUGCUGGACUCAUUGAAUUAAAUUCAUUGUUUUCAGAGAACCUUGACAACUGCAUAGAUUAUUUUUAAAGACAAUAAGCAUCUUUGAUGAUGCAGAUUUAUUAUUUGUGCGAAUGCAUUAAUAACAAUUCUAUUAAGCUGAUGCUUCAAUUUUUGAAGUUAUU
rnacentral:tRNA from 1 species